CCCCAGGUCAGGCGGGGCUACCCGCUGAGUUUAGGCAUGUCAAUAAGC
rnacentral:rRNA from 1 species